rnacentral:snRNA from 1 species
AGAUGUGAGGGUGAUCUGGCUGCGACAUCUAUCACCCCACUGAUCGCCAGGGUUGAUUCGGUUGAUCUGGCUGGCGAGGCGGGUGUCCCCUUCCUUCCUCACCACUCCCAUGUGCGUCCCUCCGAAAGCUGAGUGCUCCAUCGAGGCGGAGGACCUUCCCCGAUAGAGGAGGACCGUUCUUUGGUCAAGGGUAUACGAGUAGCUGCACUCCCCUGCUAGAACCUCCAAACAAGCUCUCAAGGUUCACCUGGAGGAGAACGUAGGGUAGCCAAGCUUCCAAGACUCCAGACACAUCCAAAUGAGGCGUUGCACGUGGCAAUUUGCCUUUGUUU